UUUUUCUGAGGCAACUGGAAAUACUUUGAUUAUUCUACUGAUAAGAACUUGUUCACUUAUUGUGGAAUCUCAACGAAGAAACAAAUAUAAUUCAAAGCUUGCACAACAUGGACAUUUCUAUACUGUCUGCUCUGACACUGAUGCUGGCUGUCUGGGCUGUGGCUGUGGCUGGGGAUUGUGUGACAGAUCCCGUGACCAUGCUGUGCAUUUUGGAUCCCAAUCAGGGCUAAUAACCAUAUGCGGAUACUGAUAUGUGUCUCCAACCAGAGUGGAUUCUCUCUUGAAUAAAGUGAAAACGUGGAACUAAAGUUUUUGACACAGA